CACUGAGAGUGCUACGUGCAGGAUCAGGUCAUUUCCAACUCAGUAGACAUAAUGCUUGUCAGCUGUGUUAUCUUUUUCUCUUUUACACUUUUCCUCUUCUUGUAGAUAAAAUAGCCUACAGAAGAAAUUACUAAAGAGGCUGGAGACAAAAAUAUGCCACUAAUGUGAGUUUCCAUGGAAAUAAAUCGGAGGCAUUACUUUUGGAGCAACUAUGCGGCCCAAGAUAAUUUGUCUUGACUCAGUGUGAUCCAGGCAAGCCAAAAGGUUGCACACCCAUGAAAUAAGCCAAGAAAGUACAUGGACUGCAAGAAAAUUCUUUUUGGUCUACUGACAUCCCUGUUUAAUUAAUAAGUGCUGUCACACAUUCAGCAAGCACGC
rnacentral:lncRNA from 1 species